rnacentral:rRNA from 1 species
AGCAGCCGCGGUAAUUCCAGCUCCAAUAGCGUAUAUUAAAGUUGUUGCAGUUAAAAAGCUCGUAGUUGAAUUUCAGGAUUGACACAUCGGUCGUGCCUUAAGGGGUAUGAACUGGUGUAGUCAAUUUCUCACCUUCUGGAGAACCGCGAUGCCCUUAAUUGGGUGUCACGGGGAACCAGGACCUUUACUUUGAAAAAAUUUAGAGUGUUUAAAGCAGGCAUUUUGCUUGAAUACAUUAGCAUGGAAUAAUAAAAUAGGACGGCAUGAUUCUAUUUUGUUGGUUUCUAGGAUCACCGUAAUGAUUAAUAGGGAUAGUUGGGGGGCAUUAGUAUUCAAUUGUCAGAGGUGAAAUUCUUGGAUUUAUUGAAGACUAACUACUGCGAAAGCAUUUGCCAAGGAUGUUUUCAUUAAUCAAGAACGAAAGUUAGGGGAUCGAAGACGAUCAGAUACCGUCGUAGUCUUAACCAUAAACUAUGCCGACUAGGAAUCAGACGAUGUUAAUUUUUUAAUGACUCGUUUG